GCAGAACCCCAGCAUCGCUGGCCUUUGGACUCUAGGACUUACACCAGCAACCCCCACUCCUACCCCAGGUUUUCAGGUCCUGGAACUUGGACUGAGCAACACUACAGGCAUUCCAGAGUCCCCAGCACGUAGAUAGCUGUCACGGGACUUCUCAGCCUCAAUAAUCAGGUUCUCAGGCCCUGGAACUUGGACCGAACAACACUACUGGCAUUCCAGGGUCCCCCAUAUGUGGAUGGCUGUCACAGGACUUCUCAGAUUCCAUAAUCAGGCCAUUCCAAAGUUAACCUGAAAAACUACGAAUAGUUCAGGCCAUGAUGGGAAUUGGGAGUUGGACGUGCCUCAUUAUACCCGUCUCCCUGUUGGAACUCAGGCCCAGCUGACCAGCAUUAACAGAGACCUUAAGACUGACAGAAGAGACUCUUUAAGUCUGAUAAGAAGCAUUUACAGCCUGGUCUCUGCAGCCUGCUACCUGAAGACUUCAUCUGCAUGAUAAAACCUCCGUCUCUACAACUUCUUCUUGUAAUCCAGACAUUCCUUUGUAUUGAUUCCUGUUCUUUAGAUAAUAACUCAGUCAACCGUCAAUCAGAAAAUCUUUGAAUCUCCCCAUGACCUAGACGUCCCUACUUCCAGGUGUCCUGCAUUUUCAGACUGAACCAAUGUAUACCUUAAUGUAUUGAUUGAUGUUUUAUGUCUCCCUAAAUGUAUAAAACCAAGCUGUAGC